rnacentral:rRNA from 1 species
UACAGAGGGUGCAAGCGUUAAUCGGAAUUACUGGGCGUAAAGCGUGCGCAGGCGGUUUUGUAAGUCUGUCGUGAAAGCCCCGGGCUCAACCUGGGAAUUGCGAUGGAGACUGCAAGGCUUGAAUCUGGCAGAGGGGGGUAGAAUUCCACGUGUAGCAGUGAAAUGCGUAGAGAUGUGGAGGAACACCGAUGGCGAAGGCAGCCCCCUGGGUCAAGAUUGACGCUCAUGCACGAAAGCGUGGGGAGCAAACAGGAUUAGAACCUACCGU